GACGAAGGGGGCUAGCGUUGUUCGGAAUUACUGGGCGUAAAGGGCGUGUAGGCGGUUUGUUAAGUUUGGCGUGAAAGCUCUCGGCUAAACCGGGAGAGGUCGUUGGAUACUGGCAAACUAGAGGACGGUAGAGGCGUGUGGAAUUCCGGGUGUAGUGGUGAAAUGCGUAGAGAUCCGGAGGAACACCAGUGGCGAAGGCGACACGCUGGGCCGUACCUGACGCUAAAGCGCGACAGCAUGGGGAGCAAACGGG
rnacentral:rRNA from 1 species